CUCUCCCAUCAAAGCAAGGCGCUUUGGGAAGACUUGAAGGUUAUUGGUGAAAAUGAAUGCCCUUCAAAGAUCUGCGAGAACUGCUUUUUGAUUGGUUGGAAGCUGCACUUAGUACGUGGCGGAUUCUGACUGUAAAGAGGGCUGUUCCCCGAGGGAGAAAGAGUGGGAGGCGAGUCCCUAGUUGCGGGGAGUAGGCCGACCUUAAAGGGACUGCUGUUGUAGCUGUUCUAAAGCAGAGUCUAUGCGGAAAGGCAAAAGGAAAGCAGAAACAAAUAAAUAUUUCAGACGCCUGCACUGUUACAUUGUGGUGACCUGGUACGAAGUGAAGUGUCACCCUCGCUCAGGUGUCCUUGGGGACACACAGUGUUCACCUUCUCCGCACACCUCCAGGACUGGGAACCAAACCCGGGGCCUCAUCCAUGCAAGGCAAGU
rnacentral:lncRNA from 1 species